GUUGAGAGAUCAAGAAAGAUGCUGGCUGAGAUCAACCAUUCGGUUUUUGACACAGGACGGCAAUUGUUACUGAAACUUACCUGGGCCUCCUAAGACCUGGCUGCUUCUUCUGUGGAGAGAGAAUAAUAGGAACAUCUGCUUCAAGAUUUUCAUAAAGGUCAACUAAGAAAUGUGACAAGAGGAAGACGGGAUGGGGAAAGAAAAGCACCUUGCCUAAGAUCACACAGUUGGUAAGUGAAGCAGCAGUUCUGGACCAAAACCUCACUUUCAGAAUCUAAUUUGAUGUUCUUUCCACUCUACUGUGCUGCAUGGGGUCACUCUUCACACUGAGGGUAGCACCUACAAUGCUUUCGCAGCUGACUAGAUCAUGGUGCUAUGAUAAUGACUGCCAUUUAUUAAGCAUCAACCAUGUAUUACAUAGAUGGAAGUUACACAUAUAUCACAAAGAUUAAAUACAUUAUACAUGCAAAGUACACAGCCCAGGAUUUGGCACAUAGUAAUUAUUCCAUUAACAGCAACUUUAGGUAUUAUUUCUAAUUCGUACAACUCUAUAAUCAAUGAAUUCUAUCUCCAUUUUUCAAAUGAGGAAACUGAGGCUCAGAAAAGCUAGGUAACAUGUCCAAGCCCACAUAAUCAGAAAGUAGCAGAACCCAGGAUUCCAGCUCAAGUUUGACAAACUCUGGAGCCCCUUUGUCACUGGGACUUUCUCUGAGGCAGAAAGUCAGAGUAUGCACAUUAAAAAAAAAGUGUGUUAUUAAAAAAUGAUGACAGGACA
rnacentral:lncRNA from 1 species